CAGAGUUUACAUAUGCUAGGCACUUUAUGAAUGCUGGCUCAUUUAUUCCUCAUUACAAAGAUAUUCUCAUCUGUGUUUUACAGGUGAGCCUAUGGUAGCUCAGAGAAGUUAACUCACCCAAUGUCACAGAGCCAGGAGGUGACAGAACUGAGCAGCUGGGAUUUGAAUUGCACACUGAAGACUUGUGCACUUUACUGUAGGGACACUAUGCCUCUGCUUUAGAGACACGCACGAUGGUUGUACGUGUAUUGGUUGUCGACCCUGGUGACCGUGUGGCUGAGCUGCCCAACAUCACGAGAGAGCAUCUUACGACCUAUCGCCAGCCCAGGAAAAGAUCAAACCUCCAACUACAGUUUCUACCGAAUGCGUACUGCUUUCUUGCCAUGAUUUUGAGCUUCUGGAAGCAGGGACAGCCAUGGAUGCAUUUAAAAAAGACAUUUCUGAAUCUCCAGGGCUUAUCCCAGGACCUGGCACACAGCAUGUGCUUAAUAACUCCUUGUUACAUGAAUACACCCAUGAUACAUUUUGCUUCAAAUGUUGCCAGUGAAAAAAUUUCAAAGAGGUAUGUGUAUGCUCCUUUGCUUUUCUCUGACAAUAAAAUAGAGAUAAUAAUCACUCACUGCCAUUCUGACACUUAGCAGAGCGCUGUGCUGGGAGAAUGGAUGUGAAAGAAUAAAGGAUAAAGUCAAAGAAUUAAGUACAAAAAUACACAAGAGCUUUCAGACUGACUUUGAUAAUAAAAGGUAACGUGCACUGAGCAUUUACUAUGUUCCAGGUACGGAAUUAUCAAAUUUAUUUCUCAUAACAGCCCAAUAAGGUAGAUAAUAUUGUCUCAAUUUUACAUGUGAGCGAACCGAAUUUUAGAGUGCUUACAUGAUUUGUCUGAGGUCAAACAACGGGCACGCCUGCAGCCAGAACCUUAAUUCAGACUUUCUGAAUUCAGGGUCCACUCUGGGGAAGAUGCUCUAUCUGGACUCAUCAGUAAAGACAACGUGCUCCACUUACGUGAGAAAAGAGACAAAUGAUAAGCAAAGGGCGAAGAUUUCGUCAAAUUCUCUACUUCCUCAGUUUACCUUUGUUUAGUGCACAACAGAGAAAAACGAAAAAAACAGAUUAUUGAGAGUAUCUACCCGAUUGCCUUUGCUAUC